UGGGGAAUCUUGGACAAUGGGCGAAAGCCUGAUCCAGCCAUGCCGCGUGAGUGACGAAGGCCUUAGGGUUGUAAAACUCUUUCGUCGGGGACGAUAAUGACGGUACCCGAAGAAGAAGCUCCGGCUAACUUCGUGCCAGCAGCCGCGGUAAUACGAAGGGAGCUAGCGUUGUUCGGAAUCACUGGGCGUAAAGCGCACGUAGGCGGAUAGUUAAGUCAGGGGUGAAAUCCUGGGGCUCAACCCCAGAACUGCCUUUGAUACUGGCUGUCUCGAGGUCGAGAGAGGUUGGUGGAAUUCCUAGUGUAGAGGUGAAAUUCGUAGAUAUUAGGAAGAACACCAGUGGCGAAGGCGGCCAACUGGCUCGAUACUGACGCUGAGGUGCGAAAGCGUGGGGAGCAAACAGGAUUAGAUACCCACGUAGUCCCUGAGCGGGCUGGCAAGGCGCAU
rnacentral:rRNA from 1 species